rnacentral:rRNA from 1 species
GACGAACGCUGGCGGCGUGCUUAACACAUGCAAGUCGAACGGAAAGGCCUAAGCUUGCUUGGGUGCUCGAGUGGCGAACGGGUGAGUAACACGUGAGUGAUCUGCCCUCAACUUCGGGAUAAGCCUGGGAAACUGGGUCUAAUACUGGAUAGGACCAUCCUUUAGUGUGUGAUGGUGGAAAGUUUUUUCGGUUGGGGAUGAGCUCGCGGCCUAUCAGCUUGUUGGUGGGGUAAUGGUCUACCAAGGCGUCGACGGGUAGCCGGCCUGAGAGGGUGUACGGCCACAUUGGGACUGAUACACGGCCCAGACUCCCACGGGAGGCGCGGGGGGAACAUUGCACACUCGGGCGGAAGCCUGAUGCAGCGACGCCGCGUGAGGGAUGACGGACUUCGGGUUGUAAACCUCUUUCGACAGGGACGAAGCUUUUGUGACGGUACCUGUAUAAGAAGCACCGGCUAACUACGUGCCAGCAGCCGCGGUAAUACGUAGGGCGCGAGCGUUGUCCGGAAUUACUGGGCGUAAAGAGCUCGUAGGUGGUUUGUCGCGUCGUCUGUGAAUUCCGGGGCUUAACUCCGGGCGUGCAGGCGAUACGGGCAUAACUUGAGUGCUGUAGGGGAGACUGGAAUUCCUGGUGUAGCGGUGAAAUGCGCAGAUAUCAGGAGGAACACCGAUGGCGAAGGCAGGUCUCUGGGCAGUAACUGACGCUGAGGAGCGAAAGCAUGGGGAGCGAACAGGAUUAGAUACCCUGGUAGUCCAUGCCGUAAACGGUGGGCGCUAGGUGUAGGGGACUUCCACGUCUUCUGUGCCGUAGCUAACGCAUUAAGCGCCCCGCCUGGGGAGUACGGCCGCAAGGCUAAAACUCAAAGGAAUUGACGGGGGCCCGCACAAGCGGCGGAGCAUGUGGAUUAAUUCGAUGCAACGCGAAGAACCUUACCUGGGCUUGACAUAUACAGGAUCGCUGCAGAGAUGUAGUUUCCCUUGUGGUCUGUAUACAGGUGGUGCAUGGUUGUCGUCAGCUCGUGUCGUGAGAUGUUGGGUUAAGUCCCGCAACGAGCGCAACCCUUGUCUUAUGUUGCCAGCACACUAUGGUGGGGACUCAUGAGAGACUGCCGGGGUUAACUCGGAGGAAGGUGGGGAUGACGUCAAAUCAUCAUGCCCCUUAUGUCCAGGGCUUCACACAUGCUACAAUGGUCGGUACAACGCGCUGCGAGCCUGUGAGGGUGAGCGAAUCGCUGAAAGCCGGCCUCAGUUCGGAUUGGGGUCUGCAACUCGACCCCAUGAAGUCGGAGUCGCUAGUAAUCGCAGAUCAGCAACGCUGCGGUGAAUACGUUCCCGGGCCU